UUGAGCUAUUAUAUAAUUUCUCGCGCCUGUGCGCAGUAGUUUCGAGAUCUCGCGGGAUACAGAACGUGCGACAUUCGAUUUAUCGGAUGGUGUUGUAGUAUUUCAGUUUUGCUCAAUUCCAUUGCUAUUUACGGUUUGAAGUACCGGUAGGCUAUGAAACGUAGACCAUGUCAUAGUUAGGACCGCAUCAAAUAUCAUGACCAUGGAAUUUGGUGCAUCAUCCAAUGGUAAUGAUGACAAUCCUUCUUGUGAGAAUGCAGGGCAUUAUGCACGAAUCAAAGAGUUGGCUGCCUCCUAUCGCAGGAGAAAGAGGAAAACCUAUCCUAAAAAGAACUUAAAAACCAUAUGUGAAAGCUCCAUCCAGGGACAUCAAUGGUGCUAUAGAUGGUCCAUCAGUUCCCAGAAGAGAAAGAAAAGGGAAGAAAACCUCAACGACAGAGAAACUAAAGGACUUUCCUGAGGAAUUGCAACCAAGUAAUCAUGAAGUAGAAAUCGAUGCACCUUUCGAUUUUCAAGUGUUCCAGCAAGUGAGAGCUGAACUUAUGGAGCUUCUGAAUGGGAUUCGGGCUUCCAAUAGUACUGAAGUGCCAAGCACUGAAUCUGAAUGGAAGAAAAGGCAUUUUGUUGCGCAUGCUGACCGGAAGCAAAGACAAGAGGAGAGUUGGGAGGAGGUGCAGGAGCCAGUAUUGAGGUCAAUACUUAGGAAAAUGGGAAAACAUACCCGGUAGUUCAUCAUGUGCAGUUUGUGUCUCAUGUGCGUCGUCAGCUGUUAUCAGAUGCUUCAAAGAGUCGGGCUUCUCUACGAAAGUGUCUUGAAAAGGAGAGAAAGCAACUUCAGCAUUGUGUUAGUCUGCUGUCAUG